UACGAAGGGUGCAAGCGUUACUCGGAAUUACUGGGCGUAAAGCGUGCGUAGGCGGUUCGUUAAGUCCGUUGUGAAAGCCCUGGGCUCAACCUGGGAAUGGCAGUGGAUACUGGCGAGCUAGAGUGUGAUAGAGGAUUGUGGAAUUCCCGGUGUAGCGGUGAAAUGCGUAGAGAUCGGGAGGAACACCAGUGGCGAAGGCGGCCAUCUGGAUCAACACUGACGCUGAGGCACGAAAGCGUGGGGAGCAAACAGG
rnacentral:rRNA from 1 species